GCCUCGAUAGCCUAGUGGUAGGGCGUCCGCUUCGAGUGCGGGAGGUCGUGGGUUCGAUCCCCUCGUGGCG